rnacentral:tRNA from 1 species
GAGGGUAUAGCUCAGUGGUUAGAGUAUAUGUUUAGCAUGCAUGAGGUCCUAGGUUCAAUCCCCAGCACCUCCA